GACGAACGCUGGCGGCGUGCCUAAUACAUGCAAGUAGAACGCAGUUGCGAACGGGUGAGUAACGCGUAGGUAACUGCCUCAUAGCGGGGGAGAACUAUUGGAAACGAUAGCUAAUACCGCAGACUGUGCGAUGGACCUGCGUGGUAUUAGCUAGUUGGUGAGGCAAAGGCUCUCAAAGGCGGCGAUACAUAGCCGACCUGAGAGGGAGAGCGGCCCCACUGGCCCGGAGACCCGGCGCAGACUCCUACGGGAAGCAGCAGUAGGGGAUCGUCGGCCAGGGACGGCAGUCUGGCCUGGCAACGCCGCGCGGGAGGAGAAGCUUUUCGGAUCGCAAAACUCUGGUGAUGGAGAGGCGGUGACUAACCGGAAAGGGCCGGCUCACUACGUGCCAGCCGCCGCGGUAAUAC
rnacentral:rRNA from 1 species